GGGAAAGGGAGCGGAAGGCGCGAGCAGCGGGAGGCCUCGAGGGAGGCGCGAGCAGCGGGAAGGCUCGCGGGAGGGCUCGCAGGAGGCGAGAGGGCUCGCGGGAGGCGCGAGCAGCGGGAGGGCUCGCAGGAGGCGCGAGCAGCGAGAGGGCUCGCGGGAGGCGCGAGCAGCGGGAAGGCUCGCGGGAGGCGCGAGCAGCGACAGCGGCAGCGGGAGCAGCGGCAGCGAGCGACGAGAUCGCGAUCGGGA
rnacentral:lncRNA from 1 species